rnacentral:misc_RNA from 1 species
UGAUUUUUAAUUAUUUGUGAAGCGUACUACGAACUAACAAAAAUAUUAUAAUCAAAACAAAAAAUUAAAUCA